rnacentral:tRNA from 1 species
ACCUGGAUGGCUCAGUCGGUUGAGCGUCUGACUUCGGCUCAGGUCAUGAUCUCACAGUUCGUGGGUUUGAGCCCCGUGUCGGGCU